rnacentral:tRNA from 1 species
GCCCGUGGCUCAAUGGUAGAGCGUUUGUCUCAAAUAACAAAAAUCACGGAUUCGAAUCCCAUGGGUG